UCAAGUGACUAAGUGUAUGUGGUGGAUGCCUUGGCGAUCAUAGGCGAUGAAGGACGUGUAAGCCUGCGAAAAGCUGCGGGGAGUCGGCAAAAAGACUUUGAUCCGCAGAUGUCCGAAUGAGGAAACUCACCGGGUAACCGGUAUCACAAACUGAAUACAUAGGUUUGUGAAGCGAACGCAGUGAACUGAAACAUCUAAGUAACUGCAGGAAAAGAAAUCAACCGAGAUUGCGGCAGUAGCGGCGAGCGAAACCGCAGCAGCCUAGUUUUUGAUAAUGCAUGGUGACAGCAGAACGGUCUGGAAAGGCCGGCCACAGUGGGUGACAGCCCCGUAUGCGAAGUCCGGUGCAUGGUACUAAAAAGACGAUAAGUAGGGCGGGACACGUGACAUCCUGUCCGAAGAUGGGGGGACCAUCCUCCAAGGCUAAAUACUCAUGAUCGACCGAUAGCGAACCAGUACUGUGAAGGAAAGGCGAAAAGAACCCCGGGAGGGGAGUGAAAUAGAACCUGAAACCGCAUACAUACAAACAGUAGGAGCCCUACGGGGUGACUGCGUACCUUUUGCAUAAUGGGUCAGCGACUUACGUUUUGCGGCAAGCUUAACCGAGUAGGGGAGGCGCAGCGAAAGCGAGUUCGAACAGAGCGAUAGAGUCGUAAGGCGUAGACCCGAAACCAGAUGAGCUAACCAUGGCCAGGUUGAAGGUGUGGUAACACACACUGGAGGACCGAACCGACCGGUGUUGCAAAACCGGCGGAUGAGCUGUGGUUAGGGGUGAAAGGCUUAACAAAUCUGGAGAUAGCUGGUUCUCCCCGAAAACUAUUGAGGUAGUGCCUCGUGACUGACUCCGGGGGGUAGAGCACUGUUAUGGCUAGGGGGACAUGGCGUCUUACCAAACCAUGGCAAACUCCGAAUACCCGGAAGUUGAAUCACGGGAGACAGAGCACCGGGUGCUAACGUCCGGACUCAAAAGGGAAACAACCCAGACCGCCGUUUAAGGUCCCAAAUACAGGCUAAGUGGAAAACGAAGUGUGAAGGCUAAGACAGUCAGGAAGUUGGCUUAGAAGCAGCCAUCCUUCAAAGAAAGCGUAAUAGCUCACUGAUCGAGUCCUCAUGCGCGGAAGAUGUAACGGGGCUAAGUCUGUAACCGAAAGCGCGGAUUUGCACGCAAGUGCAAGUGGUAGGGGAGCGUUCUGUAAGCCUGCGAAGGUGUGUGGUAACGCAUGCCGGAGGUAUCAGAAGUGCGAAUGCUGACAUGAGUAACGAUAAAGCGGGUGAAAAGCCCGCUCGCCGUAAGCCCAAGGUUUCCUGCUCUACGUUCAUCGGAGCAGGGUGAGUCGGCCCCUAAGGCCAGGCUGAGAAGCGUAGCUGAUGGGAAGCAGAUUAAGAUUUCUGCACCGACGUUAAGUGCGAAGGGGGGACGGAGUUUUAAGCAUCAUCCGGGUGUUGGAUGUCCCGGUUUGUGCGUGUAGGAGGCCGGCAGGCAAAUCCGCCGGCGAAUCUCCGAGACAAAGCAUCGAGCUGCAUUUUGCAGUGAAGUGAUGGGAUGAACUUCCAGGAAAAGCCUCUAAGCUAUAGCUUAAUGUCGACCGUACCGUAAACCGACACAGGUGGGCGAGUUGAAUAUACUCAGGCGCUUGAGAGAACUCGGGAGAAGGAACUCGGCAAAUUGACACCGUAACUUCGGGAUAAGGUGUGCCUUUGUAGUGUGAAGAGUGAAACACUCCGAGCAUGAAGAGGUCACAGAGAAUAGGUGGCUGCAACUGUUUACUAAAAACACAGCACUCUGCAAAGACGAAAGUCGACGUAUAGGGUGUGAUGCCUGCCCGGUGCCGGAAGAUUAAGUGAUGGGGUGAGAGCUCCUGAUCGAAGUCCCGGUAAACGGCGGCCGUAACUAUAACGGUCCUAAGGUAGCGAAAUUCCUUGUC
rnacentral:rRNA from 1 species